ensembl:lncRNA
CCGCAGUGGCUUCCAGGCCCAGCGCCAGGCCCCAGCCUGCACCCCAGGCUGCACUCGCGUAUCCAGGAACCACCUCUUUUUACAGCAGGAAGAGGGCAACCAGAGAGGGUGAGAGCGCCGCUCACGGUUACCCACAAGUUUCGGAACAAAGUUGGCAGCAUGAGGAGUCUGGGUUCGAAUCCUAGCACAGCUGGUCGGAUCGCUAGCAGUUAAAAUCUCAGGCAAUAGGGUAAACCCAGCACUGCCCCCAUCUGGCUGCGUGGGAUCCACGAGAGCCGGAAGCACUGUAGGGGCUGGGGCCCCAGUGGUCAAAGUGGCCAGUCCUGAGCCUGGGGCAACAGGCGAUCAUAUUUAAAAAACAAAAUAAAAUACAGAGAACGAAUUGCUUGCCACAGAC